CCACAUCCACAGCAAUGUGGAAGUUCCCAGGCUAGGAGUCAAACCUGACCUGCAGCUACCGGCCUGUACCACAGCCACAGCAGUGCAGAUCCGAGCCAUGUCCGCUACCUACACCACAGCUCAGGGCAAUGCCGGAUCCUUUAACCCACUGAGCGAGGCCAGGGAUCAAACCCAAAUCCUCAUAGAUACUAGUCAGGUUUGUUACCACUAAGCCACAAUGGGAACUCCAGAAUUAAGCAAGAAUUUUCCACUUUAAAACUGAGGAGUGUUGAUCGAAUUUUAAAAGUCCCUCGGCUUUGCUCAAUAAGGCCAAGAUUUUUUAAUGGUUUCUCCUUAUUCUUCAAAGAGGAAAAAUAGUGAUCACUUGAACAACAAAUGCGCUUAGCCCUAGUGAAAGCAAACAGAAAACUAGUGUCUAAAGUUAGAUGUUUCUGCCAUGUCCCUUAGCUACUCAGUGACACUGAGUGCAACAAAUCUGGGCAAGUGACUGGAUCACUCUAUGUCCCUCCUUAAGUGAAAAUCUGAUGGUGUCACUUUUCUGCUUAUGUUCUUUCAGUUUCCACACAUAAGGUGAAUUACUCAUGCAGGGAAGGCAAUAUUAUAGUGAAUUAUGCCUACUCUUCCCCCUUGGAGCCCAGAGCAUCACCCAACCACAAUCUCCCAGGCACUCUAGUCCACUGAGCCUGCAUGAGUCCUGAAGUCCUUCUCAGACCACUCUAGGCAACCACUUCUAAUAAGUCAGAGAAGGCCCAUGAAAUAAAAACUAUGCACCUCCUGAACAUACAGCCAAUCAGAUGAAUGCUCUCCCCAAAGAAGGAUCUGGACUGCAGUGGCCUCACAGACAAAGCAGGGUCAGAGAAGAAAGAUGUUGACAGUGCCAGUUCAAGCCAGGGAAAUGAGGCACAGGCCCCAGGUCACCUGCAAUUCUACCUGCUGGCCACAUAAUCCUUUUUAUGCAGAGGGAGUCUUGGGAUACUAGGUUGAUGCCGCCGACGAUUAAAUUAUACCAUGUUCUUCCUUUUCCCCUGGUCUCAUGCUUAUGUAAAAACCUUCUGUUAAUAUCUGGUUCCCGAACAAUGUCAUUGGCUUAUAAAGCUAGUAUCCCACACUCAUGCUGGCACUACUAUUCAAACACAGUGACAGAACCUGGAAUCCUGUCUUACACAUCACUUUCUGUGAGGUCAGUCCACAUGAACUCACCCCAAGUGACUUCCCUAUUCUUGAUGUGCUGACGAACCUACAAAGUAAAGGAUUCAAUACGGAACCACGACGAAUUCCGCAAGAUCCAUGACAUCUUACAAGGAAUCUUUACAACCAAACAGCCUGAGUUUACUGUUAAGGCUACUUCUUCCUCACCAGACCUUCAACAUGUAACACAUGCAAGACAGAUCCCUUGUGAUCUGAGCCCCGUCCUUUUUUUUUCCCUAACUUUAUCUCCAGUGUGGUCCUACAGUUAGUAUCAACAGUGAACGUGCCACCCAUGGCAGAGUUGGUGGUAGAGCAGAAGAUGCCUCAAAUCUUAAGUUAUGAAGCAAAAUCUAAAAUAGGAGAAUGAGAAAUAACAUUGGAAGUGGGAGCAUCAAAAGACUAUAAAAUUGACCUGGAGUGUCAUAUGUUAUGGGAAGUGUGAUUAGAUCUAAAAGGGCUAUCAAUGAAGAGACUUUCAUGAGUUCUGCCUCACUAUGGUGCUUGGUGCAUUGGCAAGAAGAUGGUAGCUGAAAGCAGUUGUGGGAUUCUUGGGCCCCUCUAUUCAAACUGUCUUGUGCGCCAACCCUGAGGUCCAGCUCUCCUGAAUUUCUUGCUUUUCUAGAACUGGCAUGUUCCACACAUUUCCGUGCCUUUGCACAUGUUUUUCCUUUUGCUGAAACACCCAUUAUUCUUUAUUCAAGCCUUCCCGCCUCUGUUCCUACCACAUUAUGGAAUUGGAAUUUAAGCUGUCUCUGUACAUUAGAUACUAGUCUUUCUUUUUUUUUUUUUUUUUUUUUUUUUUUUUUGUCUUUUUGCUAUUUCUUUGGGCCACUCCCAUGGCAUAUGGAGGUUCCCAGGCUAGGGGUCUAAUUGGAGCUGUAGCCACUGGCCUACGCCAUAGCCAGAGCAACGCGGGAUCCGAGCCGCAUCUGCAACCUACACCACAGCUCACGGCAACGCCGGAUCGUUAACACACUGAGCAAGGGCAGGGACUGAACCCGCAACCUCAUGGUUCCCAGUCGGAUUCGUUAACCACUGCGCCACGACGGGAACUCCCUACAUUUCCUUUUUGAUUGUAAGUUCCUUAAAAGCAGGGCCCUGUUUAAGUCAUCUAAAUUCCACUGAAGUGCCAUCACAGUACUUUAUAUGUAGUAAGGAGAUAUGUAAUUUAAUCACUGAAUGACUCAUUAAAAUACAUGAAAUAGAAAUCCUGACACUAUUACCAUGAUUGAAGAUAUGCUCACAUAUACUCAUUUAUUCACUUACUGAAAAAUGCAGAUGGAUGUUUUCGUUUUUACUUUUUUCAUGUGUCAGACCGUGUGCUAGGAAUGGGAGAUGGAAAAGUGACAAGGUAUUAACCAUUAAGGAGAAUAUAGUUUUAGCAGAAAGUUGACACUUACUCUCAGUCACAUUGUUAUCCAAAUCCCCACAAAAUGCACUUAGACUGCAAAUGUCUCAUUGACAUACUUAAAUAUUUAAUAGAUUAAAGGUAGAAGUUUUAAUUUAUGCAUUGGUUAUUCGUAAAGUCCUUAUAGAUCAAUUUCUUCUGCUUCAUAACUAUGGUUUCAGUACAGUGCACCACAGAUGAUUUUAAUAAACACAUUCUUCUAAUUUUCCAUUUCUGAGACUCACAGACCUGCUCGGCAAUUAAGGGGCAAUCGUCCAUUGAGUACAUUAAUGUUCAAUAACCGAAUCUAAGGCAGAUUUUUUGUUACCUACAUUCAUAAAUUAUUAGGUAUAUUGUUAAACAUUUCCUCUUCAAAACCACAUCAGAACACAAAUAUGUCACAGAUCCAUGUGUCUGGUUUAUUAAUUUAGGAAAUGUAACAUUUAGAAUCCACUAGCCAAAAAUAUCUAAAACAAAUAUAUUUACUAAAUAGUUUCAACAACAUUUUUAUCUGAAUGAAGCUCAUACAUCAGCUUCUCUCAAUGUAGCACCUAAAUAUCAAUUAAAAACACUAAAAAGUAUACAGGAAAGGGAAAAAUUUGCAUAUGUUAAUUUUGAUGUUCUAGGUAUAAAAUUCUGUGUUAACAAUCAAAUGCUGUAAUAAGUAUACUUGUACCUGAUAAUGAAGCAAAAUCACAUGCCCACAAAAUUGCAGAGCUUAAAUAAUGAAAGCAAAUGAAAUCCUGAAAUCCAAUGCAAACUAAAAAAUAAUUCAUAUUAUCUUAGUUUUUGAAACUCAGAAUAUUAUUCAAGACACUCCACCCUAUAUUUUUUGACAAUUUUAAUUUAUUCUUUUUUUAUCUUAUUUAAUUUACAUUUUUUUUAGCACUUACUGAAUUGUUUCUUUUUUUUUGUCUUUUUGUCUUUUUGCCUUUUCUAGGACCACUCCCACAGCAUAUAGAGAAGCGGCCCAAGAAAUGGCAAAAAGACAAAAAAAAUAAAAAAUAAAAAAAAAAGAAUAACUUUACCUAUUCAACAGGGAAAGGAGUUAAACUGGUCAAAAGCCUUUACAAUAAGUUUCAUUUUGCUAUGAAACUGUACUGCCGAAAGAUCCUGAAGUGCCGAUGAAUGGUUUUUCAUAGAGAUGUUUAAUUGAUAUAGACACUUAUUAUUCAGGUACUAUUUGACAUGGCACGAGUGUUACCAGAUGAUGUGGAGAGUUACACGGGGAAGAACUAGCAAUAAUAGACAUCAACAACCAUGUAAUGUUCUCUAACCACAAGCUAAUAUU
rnacentral:lncRNA from 1 species